AACGGUAUGGGAAAGCCGGCCAUAGAGGGUGAUAGCCCCGUAAGAGAAAGGAGAGAGGAGAGGUAGUAUCCUGAGUAGGGCGGGGUCGGAGACGCCCCGUUUGAAAUUGCCGGCACCAUCCGGUAAGGCUAAAUACUCCUGAGAGACCGAUAGUGAACCAGUACUGUGAAGGAAAGGUGAAAAGUACUCCGAAUAGGAGGGUGAAAAGAGAACCUGAAACCAUACGCUUACAAGCGGUCAGAGCCCCGUAAUGGGGUGAUGGCGUGCCUUUUGCAUAAUGAGCCUACGAGUUACUGUCCCUGGCAAGGUUAAUCCCGUUCACGGGAGGAGCCGGAGCGAAAGCGAGUCUGAAUAGGGCGCAUAGUCAGUGGUAGUAGACGCGAAACUUUGUGAUCUACCCUUGGUCAGGAUGAAGCCCCGUUAACCCGGGGUGGAGGUCCGAACUAGUAAACGUUGAAAAGUUUUUGGAUGAACUGAGGGUAGGGGUGAAAGGCUAAUCAAACUGAG
rnacentral:rRNA from 1 species